UACGUAGGGUGCAGGCGUUAAUCGGAAUCACUGGGCGUAAAAGCGUGCGCAGGCGGUGAUGUAAGACAGUUGUGAAAUCCCCGGGCUCAACCUGGGAAUUGCAUCUGUGACUGCAUCGCUAGAGUACGGUAGAGGGGGGGAUGGAAAUUCCGCGUGUAGCAGUGAAAAUGCGUAGAUAUGCGGAGGAACACCGAUGGCGAAGGCAAUCCCCCUGGACCUGUAC
rnacentral:rRNA from 1 species